AACGGCGAGUGAAGAGGGAAUAGCCCAGCACCGAAGCCUGCGGCAGAUUUGCUGUUAGGCAAUGUGGUGUUUGGGUCGGCUAGUGGGAUUGCCACUCCACUCGAAGUCCAGCAUUGAGUAUGGUCACUGGAUUUGGCCCAGAGAGGGUGAAAGGCCCGUACGGGUGGAGGUUUCAGAUAUGUAAGGCAGUUCACCAGGCCGGCCUUAGAGUCGGGUUGUUUGGGAAUGCAGCCCAAAGUGGGUGGUAAACUCCAUCCAAGGCUAAAUACAAGCACGAGUCCGAUAGCGAACAAGUACCGUGAGGGAAAGUUGAAAAGUACUUUGAAGAGAGAGUAAACAGUACGUGAAACCGCAUGCAGGUAAACGGGUGGCGUCAAGCUGCAAGCCCAGAGAAUUCAGCUGACUAGGAUGUAUGUGCGUCUGUCGCAUGAAUCAGUCAGAAUAAGAUGUAACUAGUCCACUGGGUUACGGUGGGCCCUGCCGCAAGGUUUGGGAUAUGUGUACCGGGCGGAAGCCGGAGCAUACUGUUCGUCUGUUGGACUGUCUAGUCAGUGCACUUUCUCUGUGGUGAACACCACGACCGGUGGUAUUGCCAGUCUGCUAUAGCCAAGUUGUGUUCGGUCGGUUCUUGUAAUCAGCCGGGUGCGAUCACAGGCAAACUCAGUAUACGGCGUAAGGAUGCUUUGGUGUCUUUGCGUGUUAUCGGCUGCUGGUUGUCAACGGGCCUGCCCUAUGAUUGUUGUAAUCAUCACUGGGUGACUCGGUGGGUUAUGGUGGUAUGAAUAACUGUGCAAGGCAUCGGUGUUUUCGGCCUCAAAUGCAUCCUGCAUACACAUUACAAGUGAUGUGGGGCGCCAUUGCUGCGUGCCUAUUGUUGAGUCUGAUUGGCGUGUCGCCUGCAUAAAGUGGGCCCGCUUUUGGCUUGAUAUGGGUUGUGUAGUUGAUGGUGUCUCUUGUGUAGGUUGUGGUGGGUCAAAUAGUCAGUGGUGUAGUGGUAGACGAGCUACCCGACCCGUCUUGAAACACGGACCAAGGAGUUUAACAUGUAUGCGAGUCAUUGGGUCCUACGAAACCCAAAGGCGCAGUGAAAGUAAAGCUUCGACUUGUUCUCGGAGUGAGGUGAGAUCCUGCCGUUACUCGCAUCAGCCUUUUGUCAGCAUCAGGUUAAGAGCGGUAGGCGCAUCACCGGCCCGUCCCAUGAUGUGGCCAUUGGAUGUCUGUAGUUGUCGUUCGCGGCGGCUAUGGUGCCAGUGCGUC
rnacentral:rRNA from 1 species